rnacentral:lncRNA from 1 species
AAGGAGGGGCAGGCGCGGGGCAUCCCCCGCCGCCCCGCUCCGCUCCGCUCCCUCCCCCCGCGGCCGCCCGUGCGUGCCGGGCAGCGGGGGAGGCUCCGGGCGCCGCCGCCGCCGCCUUGGCGUAAUGGCGAACCCGGCGGAUAUUUCAAACUGCUAAGUACUCCACAGUUGUCUCCAUAUUGGAAGCUGUUCAAGGAAGCUGGCCUGAAGAGUCUCUAAUGAUGAGGUGCUCAUCUGGCCAUAAAGAGCAUCUCUGAACUCAAUUCUUCAUUAAAGAGAUGUGUUCUGUAUUCACGGGUAAGGAGUUUCAUCUUAACUUGCAUGCUUUUAUGUAGUAUCUUGUGGUAUAUUGUUAAUUUCUAAGAUUUUAGCAACUGGUGUUGUACAGGUUCAUCGGUUACUCAGUAUAGAGCUCCUUAGGUGCAUGUAUGGGCUCUUAAUUUUGACCCAAGCUAUUCAUGCAACUUAGGAGUUCUAAUACCUAAAUAUCAGUGGUCUGGCUUUCAUAUUACAUUAACUUUUGGUUAGAUAGUGGGACAGAGUUUUUGUAUAUAGGUGAACAAUAAUUCUAAAUAAUUACGAUUUGGUCAGUGAGUUUUGAUUCCUUUUUGGAUAUAUACAACAGUUCUACUGGCUUUCAUUAGACAUUUACCAUGCAUCUGUUGAAUUUGGAGCUCUA